GGUCUCUCUAUAGUGGCCUCACGGUCUCCAGCCAAGAGCUCAAUCUUGCUUCUGGACAAAUAUUACCGAGAAACGUCUGCAAACCCCGGGCGCCCGGCUCCCACAUCACAGGGGCUGCGUCUCAGAAAACAACUUGUUUCUGCCGAUCCACCCCCCACCGCCGCCUCCCCGGGCACCUCGCCACACAGGACGCUCUGGGCUUCCC
rnacentral:lncRNA from 1 species